rnacentral:rRNA from 1 species
AUUGAACGCUGGCGGCAGGCCUAACACAUGCAAGUCGAGCGGAUGAAGGGAGCUUGCUCCUGGAUUCAGCGGAGGACGGGUGAGUAAUGCCUAGGAAUCUGCCUGGUAUUGGGGGAUAACGUCCGGAAACGGGCGCUAAUACCGCAUACGUCCUUAGGGAGAAAGUGGUGGAUCUUCGGACCUCACGCUAUCUGAUGAGCCUAGGUCGGAUUAGCUAGUUGGUGGGGUAAAGGCCUACCAAGGCGACGAUCCGUAACUGGUCUGAGAGGAUGAUCAGUCACACUGGAACUGAGACACGGUCCAGACUCCUACGGGAGGCAGCAGUGGGGAAUAUUGGACAAUGGGCGAAAGCCUGAUCCAGCCAUGCCGCGUGUGUGAAGAAGGUCUUCGGAUUGUAAAGCACUUUAAGUUGGGAGGAAGGGCAGUAAGUUAAUACCUUGCUGUUUUGACGUUACCAACAGAAUAAGCACCGGCUAACUUCGUG